rnacentral:rRNA from 1 species
UACGAAGGGUGCAAGCGUUACUCGGAAUUACUGGGCGUAAAGCGUGCGUAGGCGGUUUGUUAAGUCUGUCGUGAAAGCCCCGGGCUCAACCUGGGAAUGGCGAUGGAUACUGGCGAGCUAGAGUACGGUAGAGGAGAGCGGAAUUCCCGGUGUAGCAGUGAAAUGCGUAGAUAUUGGGAGGAACACCGGUGGCGAAGGCGGCAUCCUGGACCAUUAUUGACGCUGAGGAGCGAAAGCCAGGGGAGCAAACGGG